rnacentral:tRNA from 21 species
GCUGGUAUGGCUCAGUUGGUAGAGCGCACCCUUGGUAAGGGUGAGGUCCCCAGUUCGACUCUGGGUACUAGCACCA